rnacentral:lncRNA from 1 species
UGUUUUUCACUAAAUUUAUAAAAAGAAAUACAUGAUAUCUACUUGUAUCCAAAGGAUUUGCCAAAAACAUGUGUGGUCAACUCACCGCACACUUCUCAAGGUGGCUUCGCUAGACCUUGAUACAAACAACUAUUCAACAUGUAGAUAUUGAUUUUUUGUAUGCAUAUGCUCAGCCAUACCCAACUAGAUCAAACAUACAAGCGGGUAAAAAAAGGUGGUGAGGUAACCAAAGGCACCCUAGCCAAUAUGCAAAGGGUGAGCUGAGAGGUGACG